CAGUCACUCAGUCAUGUCCGACUCUUCGCAACCCCAUGGACUGCAGCAUGCCAGGCCUCCCUGUCCAUCACCAACUCCUGGAGUUUACUCAAACUCAUGUCCAUUGAGUCAGUGAUGCCAUCCAACCAUCUCAUAGUUAAUAAUAUGCUCUUAAUAAAGUUUGUGCACCAAAUGAAUGAAAAACCUUAAAUUCCCACAUGGCUUUCUUUUUAUAUUCUUACUACUUUCCUAGAAUAUACAUAACAUAGUCAUUCUUAUUAUUGAAACAGCUAAUUCUUGGUUUCUUACCCCUUUUGUUUGUAUGCAGUCGACUGCCUAAGUCCUUGUAAAUUCUCAAUAGAGUAUAGAGUGAUGGUAGGAUGUUUUUCAUGGACAGUCUCGUUGAACUUGAGCUAUUUUUUACUUUGUUGAUUUUUCAGGCCAAGUUUUUAUCAUCCUUACAGAGACAGCCUUUCUUUGGCGAUAGCGGCGAAGCAGUAGGCUGCUCAAGGGCCAUUUCUAUCACCGGACCUCAUCUGUCAUGGUGUGUUUGUCUGAUAAACCUUUCCCUGCACAGAGCAAUAGGAAUCUCACCCCAGCUACACCCACUCCAGCCUAUUUCCUUAAUAAACAGAAGUAAGCCAAAGAGCUUCCAGCCUUGUGCUGUUUUAGCUGAGAAAAACCAGAAAGAGAAGGUCAGGAUGGAAUGCAACUCCCUUUCCUUUGUGACCUCCUCAAAGGAAGAUGAGAGAGCAGUGUGAGAUUUCUGAUUCCACCCAAAGAGGUGCGACUCGGCUUAGAGUUAAAACUCCCCAAACGCCUAUGAUGUGCGAGGGAAGUGAGUUAAAUGUUUGGCCUGGGAGCCAAUCCAGGGUUGAGUACCGGUUCUCCUGCUGACCAGCUUUAUGAAUGGAGCAGUUUAUUCUUAGGUCCUCUAGACUCCGGCUUCUUCCUGUUUAAGAUGGUGAUAACGAUAGCAUCUGUUUCAUUGGGAGAAUUACAUUUUUAAAAGUCUGCAAAGGGCUUACCUUCAUAUCUGGAGCAAGCACAAUUGUUGACUCUAACGAGCGCUCCUGGAACACCUACUGUGUGCCAAGAACCAUGCCACAGAACUAGGGCAUGCUCUGUAGUUUAAUCCCUAUGUCAGCCCGUUCUUCCCAAUAAGAACACCGAGGAUCAUAGAAGUUAAAGAGCAUGCUUCACGUUGCACAGUCAUCGGAGUGCUGGGAAUUUGGACCCGUAUCUCUCUCUCAGUAUUGUGGCCUCCUGAAAGCUUCAGUGCCCAAAUAACUGAAUCCAUCACACAGCCACGUCCCCGGUAGUAAACCCUUCCCCCUAGGUGAUUGGGGGGAUAAAAUGCAGGCGCAUUUAUCAAAGCAGAGAUGUGUUUAACCCCCUGGACACCUCACCUCCUCCAUGUUCUUUGGAGGACGUGCUCGGGCCGCCACCCCGGGGCUUGGCAGGGCUCAGGGGACUCAAUGCCUCCUGAGAGAUGCUUCCCCUGACCACACUCUCUGAGAUUGUUAUUCUUCCACACCACAGCUGCCUCCAAGGCAGUAUCAGAAUCAGGAAAUCACAGGUGUAUUUGUUUGAGUCCUUGCCGGCUACUCCCACUGCUGGAGAGGAGUCCAUGGCAGAGACUUUGGCUUUGUUCAAGCUGUAUCUGUAGCACACGGCCUAGCGCUCAGACGUGGGAGGGUCACAGUAGAUAUGCGACCCCUUUGCCAAUGAAGAGCCCUGACUCUUGAGAAAAGCCUGCAGUCCUGUCAGGCCAGCGUUGUGUUGGAGGAACCACACAGCCAGGCUUCCAGCAUCACUCUCAGAGGCUAAGAGCUCAUUGAAGUGCUCCUUUCAAGAUGUCAAGGGCAAGCAGCUGGGCUUGGGGGAAGUGCAGAGAUAAUUCUGCUGAGCCUUUGUUUCCCAGCCCGUCUGGCAAUCACCAGCACUGCGGCAACGACAGGAAAAGCCUUCAACGCCCACUUCCUUGCCACACAAGAGCCGCAUUUCUGAACUGGGUCAGCCGGGUGAGGCGUGGCCACCUGUAUGGACCUCCAGGCACGUGAAGCCACUCUUGCCGAAGACGUUUGGUUGGAGAAUUUUGGUUUUGUGGCUGUGUACACGUUCUGUCAUUGCAUGGCCUGUGAUGCAGAGAGCAUAUCUCUUCCCCCUGAAAAGCCUUGGCAGAGAGCUUUCAUUUUGGAGGAAGCUUAUUUCCGGGCAACCAUCUCCAGGGAAAAUGAGUGUGAGGCAGUAGGCAGUAAACAACAUCGUAUCCCAUAGGGACGGAGGUGACCCGAAUGAGCUCCGGAGCGAGUCCGUGAUAGCGGCAGAAUCAUUACAGUGUGUGCGCCUGCCCAAGUCCAUGUGUAAUUGUAAUGUAUAAUUAAUACAGAGCUAAAAUUAAACUCCUGGGUGAAAGAGACGGGCAGGCUGAGGAGGCUGAGGAAUAUCAACCUCUAAGAUACAGCUUGUUUAUGACAAAUGUAGGAUUGGGUUGCUCUUCAUUUCAGUGGGCGUGUGCCUGUGUUUUGGGUUGCUCUUUGCUAAUAUUUCAGCCUUGAGGAAUAAGGAUUCCACAGUUAUCCUCUUCCCAUUCCUUCCAACCCCAGGAAGAAACUCUCUUUCAAGUAACCUUGUCCUCAGGCCACUGAAGUACUUUGGUUUUUCCAGAUAAUUUUUCUCAAGUGACGAAACUCACAAGCAAACAGAGACAGGACACGCCCCUUUCCUGGUGCCAUUCCUUGGUGCGCUCUUGACCCUGACUUUGCCAUGAGUUUGCAGGCGUGUCACCUGAGGAGACUUCCAGCUCUCGCUCGUGAAUACGGCUCACAGCGCCCUCCACCAUUCUUUGGACCUUGAAGAGAGGUGACCACUGGUUGCCAUUGUGGCCCUUGAUGGUUAAUUAAAGUUUGAUUCUGGGAGCAGCGGUUUUUUUGAAACAACUCUCAGGGUAACUAAGCUUACUUCUACUUUUCAAACCCAGACUUCACGUUAGCCUCUGCAUUCUAUUUGUGCUAAAUGUGCAGUACUGAAGAAUUUAGAGAGAAGACAGUUUUUACUUCUCUUCUUUCCUAGUUGAUUGUUUGAAACUCACUGACAGGCUUGAGCUGAACCAUCGUCUGGUUCCGAAUUCCCACUUCAGCGU
ensembl:lncRNA